UUCUUCAUUUCCAAAAGCUGGUGACCAGGACAUCACUGGGAGGAGAGGAGAAGGAUGGUGUCCCUUUAUGUGACAUUCUGUGUACUUCUGAGUUACAGUUUUGUUAUUCUCAAAUAGACGAGAGCUUGGGAACAUUGAUGAAGUCCAGCAGAUUUCUUUGGAAGAUGCUCUCUCCAGUCAAGAGGUUGAGGUUGCUUAUAUCUGCAGCGAAAGCUCCAGCCAUGAGGACUAUAUCAGGCAGUUCCUUAAUGCUGGCAAACACGUCCUUGUGGAAUAUCCCAUGACACUGUCUUGGGCAGCAGCACAGGACCUGUGGAAGCUGGCUGAGCAGAAAGGGAAGGUGUUGCAUGAGGAGCAUGUUGAAC
rnacentral:lncRNA from 1 species